UUGGGAAAUAGGAGUGCACAAAAGGAAUGGUGUUGUCUAUCUUGAUGUGCAUAAAUUACUAGAAAAACCUCAAAGUGAUUUAGAUCGCAGGAGAUGUUAUGUAGGAUAUUGUUUUGAGAGCCUUGCAACUAAAGAUCCUAAUAGAGCAGAUGGAGAGG